GAGUUUGAUCAUGGCUCAGGAUGAACGUUGGCGGCGUGCCUAAUACAUGCAAGUCGAACGCGCAGCGAGAGGUGCUUGCACCUUUCAAGCGAGUGGCGAACGGGUGAGUAACACGUGGAUAACCUGCCUCAAGGCUGGGGAUAACAUUUGGAAACAGAUGCUAAUACCGAAUAAAACUUAGUAUCGCAUGAUAUAAAGUUAAAAGGCGCUACGGCGUCACCUAGAGAUGGAUCCGCGGUGCAUUAGUUAGUUGGUGGGGUAAAGGCUUACCAAGACAAUGAUGCAUAGCCGAGUUGAGAGACUGAUCGGCCACAUUGGGACUGAGACACGGCCCAAACUCCUACGGGAGGCUGCAGUAGGGAAUCUUCCACAAUGGGCGCAAGCCUGAUGGAGCAACGCCGCGUGUGUGAUGAAGGCUUUCGGGUCGUAAAGCACUGUUGUAUGGGAAGAAAUGCUAAAAUAGGGAAUGAUUUUAGUUUGACGGUACCAUACCAGAAAGGGACGGCUAAAUACGUGCCAGCAGCCGCGGUAAUACGUAUGUCCCGAGCGUUAUCCGGAUUUAUUGGGCGUAAAGCGAGCGCAGACGGUUGAUUAAGUCUGAUGUGAAAGCCCGGAG
rnacentral:rRNA from 1 species